GUAACAUCCUUUGUUUUAGAAGCUUUUCUAUGUUCCUCAUCGCUACGUAACUUCCUUUGUUUUAGAAGCUCUUCUAUGUUCCUCAUCACUAGAGAAAACCCGAAGUCAGAAGCACGCCGGCAUCCACUUGCGGCCGCCCUGCCUGAAUAUGACAUGGAUGGGUGUGACCAACGUAGAGUCUUCAGGAGGCUCGGAAAAUGUCAAUGAUGACUGGCUAAAUUGGAACAAAUAUCGAAAGACUCCAAAAUGUUUACAUCCCAGCUGGAGGCAAGUGUUUCAUUCCCAGUCAGGGACGGGACAAAGUGAGACUGCAGCAGCGGAACAGGCGCAGCCGGGGUUCCAGCCCUCAGCAUCACCACGGUGCAUUUGUCCCUGAGGACACCAGGAGUUGUGACAAAUCCUGUUCCUUUGCUUUUAGAGGUUUUGUUGUAGAAGCCAUCCCCAUUUUGACCACUCCAAUAAUACUGUAAGCAGAGUUCAAAAGCUGAAGCGGGUACACUGUGCCUCCAGGUUAUGUUUGUGGAUGAUACCCUAUCAGGGUCUGAAUGUCGUCUGACAGUUGCAUCAUUUCCCUGGAAGAACACGUGUAGACAGGCCAGCCAGUGGCCCUCCCUGUACAGCAGUGGCUGUGGCAGUCAGUGUUGAGUGUGGAACUAGGACUGUGUGAUCACCUCCCGGUACUUCCCUUUCCUUAUCUUUUUUUUUU
rnacentral:lncRNA from 1 species